CUAUACAUGCAGUCGAGCGAAUGGAUUAAGAGCUUGCUCUUAUGAAGUUAGCGGCGGACGGGUGAGUAACACGUGGGUAACCUGCCCAUAAGACUGGGAUAACUCCGGGAAACCGGGGCUAAUACCGGAUAACAUUUUGAACCGCGGGGUUCGAAAUUGAAAGGCGGCUUCGGCUGUCACUUAUGGAUGGACCCGCGUCGCAUUAGCUAGUUGGUGAGGUAACGGCUCACCAGGGCAACGAUGCGUACCCGACCUGAGAGGGUGAUCGGCCACACUGGGACUGAGACACGGCCCAGACUCCUACGGGAGGCAGCAGUGGGGAAUCUUCCGCAGUGGACAAAAGUCUGACGGAGCAACCCCGCGUGAGUGAUGAAGGCUUUCGGGUCGUAAAACUCUGUUGUUAGGGAAAAACAAGUGCUAGUUGAAUAAGCUGGCACCUUGACGGUACCUAACCAGAAAGCCACGGCUAACUACGUGCCAGCAGCCGCGGUAAUACGUAGGUGGCAAGCGUUAUCCGGAAUUAUUGGGCGUAAAGCGCGCGCAGGUGGUUUCUUAAGUCUGAUGUGAAAGCCCACGGCUCAACCGUGGAGGGUCAUUGAAAACUGGGAGACUUGAGUGCAGAAGAGGAAGUGGAAUUCCAUGUGUAGCGGUGAAAUGC
rnacentral:rRNA from 1 species